GACUCUCGGCAACGGAUAUCUCGGCUCUCGCAUCGAUGAAGAACGUAGCGAAAUGCGAUACCUGGUAUGAAUUGCAUAAUCCCGUGAACCAUCGAGUCUUUGAACGCAAGUUGCGCCCGAGGCCAUCCGGCUAAGGGCACACCUACCUGGGCGUCA
rnacentral:rRNA from 15 species